GACAGAGGUGCCGAGCGUUAGGCGGAAUCACUGGGCUUAAAGCGUGUGUAGGCGGGUCCGGAAGUACCUUGUGAAAUCCCACGGCUCAACCGUGGAACUGCUGGGUAUACUGCGGGUCUUGAGCCACUUAGGGGCAAGCGGAACAAACGGUGGAGCGGUGAAAUGCGUAGAUAUCGUUUGGAACGCCAAUGGUGAAAACAGCUUGCUGGGAGUGUGCUGACGCUGAGACACGAAAGCCAGGGGAGCAAACGGG
rnacentral:rRNA from 1 species